CAGAGGGUGCAAGCGUUAAUCGGAAUUACUGGGCGUAAAGCGCGCGUAGGUGGUUUGUUAAGUUGGAUGUGAAAGCCCCGGGCUCAACCUGGGAACUGCAUCCAAAACUGGCAAGCUAGAGUAGGGCAGAGGGUGGUGGAAUUUCCUGUGUAGCGGUGAAAUGCGUAGAUAUAGGAAGGAACACCAGUGGCGAAGGCGACCACCUGGGCUCAUACUGACACUGAGGUGCGAAAGCGUGGGGAGCAAACAGG
rnacentral:rRNA from 1 species